ACGCAGGGGAGGAUGGUCACGUGCCUCCGCGCUGCCCUGGGCUCGUGGGUUUGCGUUGGAGGCCCCGGGCGGGAGCGCUGGCGCCGCUGUGGUCCCUGGCCUGGAGUGUAGGGAUGAGCCGGACUUCUGCACGUCACGUCCCUGACACGUAGUAGAUGAUGGUUGCAGGGGCUCGGACUAGGUGACCUCUGGAGGCCCCACCCAGCCCUGCUUCUCUCCAGUGUUGCUGGGUAUCCGGUGAUUGUUGUAUUUGUAUGGUCAUGUCAACCCUGGGUUUGCUGCCAGCGCUUCCUUAUGACUGCUUGUCUCAAAGAAAUGCUUCAACUUUGAUGACCCAGUUCUCACUCGCUCGCUGCCACCUUACUGUGAGCAAUAUCAAGUAAAUAAGACCUAUUUGCAUAUUUUCUACUGUACAAUACUUUUCCAGCAAAUACGAUAAUUUUGAGCUUCCAAUAUAACUUUAUAUUUAAGACCUAACAAUGCUGCUUCUUGAAGACUAGGAUCCCUGCCAGCUCUCUCCCCCUCUCCACACCAGCCAUUGCCCCACAGCAGGGAGGGGGGCAUGACCCCCAAUGUCUGCAGUCUCAUGGGUAGCAGAGCAGUGGCACCAGGCUCCUGCUGCCAAAUCUCUGGACCUGCGGAGAGCCCCCAUCCUGGUGCGCAGGGCUGGGCGAAGGUGAUGCAGGCCACCAGGACCUGGUCGUGGCAUAUGGGAGAUGUAGCAGGCCAUCCUCAUGGGGCUGAGACAGUCCUCCUGGGCCCAAACUGGUAAACACAUGCAAACGAAAUGGAGCAAACACAUUUGACAGAAGGCACAACACUGAGUGACGACUGGCUUGUCUGUUAGCAGGAGGGCUGCCUGAGCAGCUGGUCUGCAUCCCACUGACAGGAAAUACCAACAACAGCUACAAAAUUCAACUGCUAACCUGCUCCUUGGUAUGCCUUGCUGCCUAAUGACCUGCGUAAGUGCUACCCAGAUCUGCUCAGAAUUGAAGAAAAAAGAAUAACACCUCGGGGACUCCAGCAAUGGAUAGAAACCUGGCACCACAGGAUUUUUUUUCUUUUUUAUUACAAAUGCCCCCUGAGUAGAUCAGCAGUGACUCCUUCUCUAAUGGAGUGGCACACGCAUUACACUGUGCAGGGGAACUGAUUCUUUUGUUAAAAUGCAGUUAACAAGAGAUCAGGAGUCAUCAUCAUCCACAUAAAGGAGCUGCCAUGAGCUACAUUACUGGUAGUAGACAGCCUUAGCAGUGUGAAUAGACAGAAAUGACGGAGAGGCUAGCUAAGUGUGUGUGUGUGUAUAAACUGGCUGAUUUAGAUGCUGAACCGCAUGCACAAAUGAACCUCUGGAGCUCUCUAAUUGGCAAGCUGUUAGCAACACAGUUAGACAGUUCCAGGUUAAACCAGUCUUCGAUUGUUUGAAAUGCCCUUUCAGAGCUGUGCUAGCAUCCAUGCUGCUCUGUCCUUUUAUGUUGUUAAUGUAUUAGGGACCUUCAAUGCCAUCAAUACCAUCUGGACAGUAAACGUAUAUAAAACUGAAUAGAAAAAUGUAUCUUUGCAAGGCAACUACAAAAUGUAUACGAACUAACCACAGGUAGCAAUUACCUACUGAAGCAAAUUUUAUCUGGAAUAGAGGCAUAUUAUGUCUUCCAUGAGAUUCAUAAACUUAACUAGCUAGACUUGGGAGCUAAUUUUCUAAGCAAUAGUGAAGGGCAGGGUUCAAAUGGAAUGACAGCACACAUAAUUAAAUAUAUCUGAGAAUCUCCUGACUAAUGUGGCUACCCUUCUGAGACACAAAUGCGUGAUUUACAAGUGCUGAAAAUCAAUAAGCUGAUCUUUUGGCAUCAGCUUGCCUCCAUUGCUCCACAUUCAGUUUCAGAUUCAGGCAUCCUAGAAAGUCCCAUUGAAAUGUAGCCAAUGAAUGGAGAGCUUAAGGGUUCUUUUAGGUAUCUAAGGGGAUAUUUCCAUUGAUUUCAACAAGCUAUAUUAAAGUCAUUGAAGGGUAUGCACAUAUGGCCUGAUGUAGGAAUGCUUUGACUAAGGCAAUUGCAUUACAUUUGAGAACCUGAAAUUCUGGUUUGGAUAACCUGAACACAUGAGUAGAUCUAGGAUUUUGUAAGCUGGGGGUGGGGAGGGGGAAGGGUAUAGUGGAUGAGAUGAUGUGGUGUAAUAUGACACACGUUUUUCUGCAGUUAAAGAGAAACUAGAAACUUUACUAAUAUGCUAUAGGCCUGGUGCUAUAUUAUAAAGUUUAAGAGCGAAGCAAAACUAAAUAUAACUUUAUUGGUAUGGUCACUUCUAGAUUACAUAUCAAUUUUAUAAACCACAUAAGACUAGGCAAAUAAUAGUCAAAAUAGUAGGAAGGUAUUGUUUCAGUAGUCCUGUAGUCAAUAUAGUUAAAUGUACAUUUCUUAUUCAAAUUCAGAAAACAACAUCUAGUCUUCCACAGCAUCUUGACAGUACCUUCAAUACUUCAGUAUUAGUCAUUUGUACACCAGAGUUAAGGUUUGCAGCUAGAGCUAAAAAUAAACUUUGUGGCUGUGAAACAGAAGAGUGACAUUACCUGAAAUGGCUAACAGAUAAAAAAAUUGCAGAAGAAAUAGUGGAACAUUCAGACCAUUAAAAAGGAAAGAGAGUCAUUAACACCUAUGGAAUGAAGAGACUUCAGCAGGAUUCAGGUGAAGUAUAGUGAACCAAAAAAUCAAUUGACACCCUCAGUACUACCAGACUAGAAAUGCUGCUGUGGUUGGUUUUAAAGUCUGGGUAAACAGGAAUUAAAAGGGCGGCCUACUGCACCCACUUGGAUCCACUCCUGCCCGAGCACAUAUCUUUGAUAAAUUGUUGGAAGGUGGUGGAUGUCUGUCGCUACAUGGGAAGGUCUGACAUGGGAAUUUUUAAAGGAUACGUUUUACAAUCCAGGAUUUAGUAGAUUAAGCCUUUGUUACGAAUAUAUUAAUAAAGACCAUAUUGGGAAAGUGA